rnacentral:rRNA from 1 species
UACGUAGGGGGCUAGCGUUGUCCGGAUUUAUUGGGCGUAAAGAGCGUGUAGGCGGCCAGGUAGGUCUGCUGUGAAAACUCGAGGCUCAACCUCGAGACGUCGGCGGAAACCAUCUGGCUAGAGUCCGGAAGAGGAGAGUGGAAUUCCUGGUGUAGCGGUGAAAUGCGCAGAUAUCAGGAAGAACACCCGUGGCGAAGGCGGCUCUCUGGGACGGUACUGACGCUGAGACGCGAAAAGCGUGGGGAGCGAACAGGAUUAGA